UUUUCUGCCGAGAAGCCCGCCCUCCCUGUCUGGCCCAGGAACGCUCCCCGCGCUCUCCUUCCCCUCCAGUCAAACCUCGGGUUUUUCCCGCUAUGUGCGCGCAUCUAGUCAUGCUCUCGAAGCACCGUCCCUGGAUUUACAAGGCCGUAAUUUCCAGAGGCUACAGUGUCCGCUAUGGGGUAGUAGGGGGAAGUUGAGCCUAGAGAGCAUUCACAGACGGAGCUCCACCUUUCUUUCCUCACUCCAAAUCUAAAGGCUCUAUUUCUCGCUUCCCACCCAUUCAAACCAGCUCCAGUGGAGAGUCUGCAUACUUUCCUAGGCAAAGCCCUGGAACACAGAGAACCAUCGUUUUCCGCCAGUCAGUGGGGGAAUCUCGACGGAGCGACACCCUUCCGCCCCUCUCUCCAAGGGAUGACCAAAACUGAGUAAGCGAGCUGCCAGGGAGGGAAUAAGCUGGCGCCGGGGACAAGGCGCGCGCUCUCCCAAGUCGCCCUGCAUCCCUCAUCAGGAGAACCCGAACCAACCCACCCAAUUCGAGGGAGAGAAAGGGAAAGGGGCGAGAAAAGCCCCUGCACACACUUACUUGGCUCCGUCCCUGCGCUUGGCGGUCCCGGCCUCAGCAGCUCCCGUCAGUAUGAGAAUGCGGAGGCGAAAGAGCGUUGUGGGCAGGGACGGGCGUGGAAACCAGUUCCAGCAUGUCAGAGGAGUGUUACACACGGCAAACCCUGCCCUGACGGCCGCCGCCAAAAAAGCGAAGCAGGAACCUGUUUGAACUCAGAAGGCCCAGCCCUUCUCCGAGCAAAGUACGACAUGCCUGCCUACUUCCCAUUGUCACUUCGCAGCUGCUGCUGUUUCAGAAGGGCAGGCGGAGUGAUUUCAACAUAGCCAUAUGGUGAAAUAUGCCAGGGUGCUGUUGCCUUAUACACAACUUUGCAUAUCUGAAGUGUAUUAUUAGAUUUGAGCUCAGAUGCUAUACAGAAAUCCCACUGAAAGCCUACGUUUCAGGUGUAAGGAUCUAAUCAGCAUCUGGAAUUCAGGGGGGAAAUGAAUAUAUGACAUACUUCUGAAGAAGAUUGUUUUCGAAACUGGCGAAGAUAUUCUAGGAUGCCUGUUAGGGGAUUCACAUAUCUCCUAUUUGUGAAGAAUGAAGAUUUGUUUUUGCAAUCUCCGGCUUUGAAGUAUUUUUCAUGUUAUAUACUCCAGCUGAGAAGAUUGGACUUUGAACAUUUACAUUUGCCCAUUGUUCCAUCUUUACCAUCAUUGCAUAUGCUGGUUCCAUGUAUGGUUUGGAAUUUGAUAUAUAAACUGCAUAUUUACAUAUAUGUUUGUGUCAUAUACAUUCACCUUUCACAACUGGUUCACAGAUUUUAUUUAUUUAUUACAUUUAUAAACUGCCCCAUCCAGAGGCUCUGGGCGGUGCUUGGUUUUUGA